rnacentral:rRNA from 1 species
AAUAGAUACCCAGGUAGUCCACGCCGUAAACGAUGAGUGCUAAGUGUUAGAGGGUUUCCGCCCUUUAGUGCUGCAGCUAACGCAUUAAGCACUCCGCCUGGGGAGUACGGUCGCAAGACUGAAACUCAAAGGAAUUGACGGGGGCCCGCACAAGCGGUGGAGCAUGUGGUUUAAUUCGAAGCAACGCGAAGAACCUUACCAGGUCUUGACAUCCCACUGACCGGUAUAGAGAUAUACCUUUCCCUUCGGGGACAUUGGUGACAGGUGGUGCAUGGUUGUCGUCAGCUCGUGUCGUGAGAUGUUGGGUUAAGUCCCGCAACGAGCGCAACCCUUGAUCUUAGUUGCCAGCAUUUAGUUGGGCACUCUAAGGUGACUGCCGGUGACAAACCGGAGGAAGGUGGGGAUGACGUCAAAUCAUCAUGCCCCUUAUGACCUGGGCUACACACGUGCUACAAUGGAUGGUACAAAGGGCUGCAAGACUGCGAAGUCAAGCCAAUCCCAUAAAACCAUUCUCAGUUCGGAUUGCAGG